rnacentral:rRNA from 1 species
UACGAAGGGGGCUAGCGUUGCUCGGAAUCACUGGGCGUAAAGCGCACGUAGGCGGAUUGCUAAGUCAGGGGUGAAAUCCUGGAGCUCAACUCCAGAACUGCCUUUGAUACUGGCGAUCUUGAGUCCGGGAGAGGUGAGUGGAACUGCGAGUGUAGAGGUGAAAUUCGUAGAUAUUCGCAAGAACACCAGUGGCGAAGGCGGCUUACUGGUCCGGUUCUGACGCUGAGGCGCGAAAGCCAGGGGAGCAAACGGG